AUGAAGGCUGGGCAACUGAGGAGAGGGGUCGCCAUCAUGCAAAGGCAUAGCAAACUAUGUGUCUCCACAUCCACCUGCAUGUUCGGGCUCCAAGAUUGGGCAGACCUCCCGAAGGAUCUGUUGCAAUCAGUAUUCUCUCGCUUAGGCUCGAUCCUUGACCUUCUCGCCUUUGUUGCAACCUGCCGUUCUUGGCGGGUUGCAUUAACUUCAUACUCAUCCAAAUCCACCUUAUGCACUUUAUUCCCGCCUCUCCUCAUCCAACCCAACAUUCGUGUCCAUGUUCCUCAUCCUCCAUGUAACAAUGGUCAUCGCCACUUACAGGCAUAUAAAGUUAUCGAUCCAGCCAAGCAAAGUGCCACCGGCCUUCACUGCCAUAUUGAUGAAGAAAUUUUGCAGACGAUGCGUUGUGCUGGCCCUUCAUAUGGUCAACUCAUCUUCUACAACCGUGGACAUUGCGUUGUUGUUAUUCCUUUUAGAGGUACCAAGGUUUCACCUCCACGUCUCCCAUUGUGUGAUGACUAUAGGAAGCUCAACUGGUCUGAUAUUCCAUUCAAUCAAAAAAUCAUGGAGCUCCAACAACUAGUUACAGAGUCUUACUGCAGCGCCAUUCUAACAGCUCCCCUUGCAUCACCAAACUCGCAUAUGCUUGUUAGCACCGGCCUCUCCUUAUUUAGUUGGCCGGUUGGAAGUGAUACUUGGUCUGAACUCCAGUGUUCUGGUGUACAAAUAAUUCAGAUUGUGGAAUUCAACGGCCAAUUCAUUGCCAUGGACCUUCGUCAACAGAUAUACACUUUGGAGGUGGCCCCCAAGCUUAGACUGCAGGAGAUAACCACUAACCACCCCCCUGACUUGACCAAGAGCUCCCAAGACCCGUCUAAAACAUCAUGGCUAGUGGUCUGCGGUGACAUGCUUCUGAUGUUGGUCCAUUCUUGCACGAGUAUUCACUACAAUGCCAGUGUGCCAUUUGUCCGCACGGUCCAUUACCUUGACAUGUCAACCAAGCCUGCAAAAUGGGUGGAUAUGGAAAAGCUGGACAAUUGGGCCAUCUUCACGGGGAGUGAUAUCAGGAGUACAUCAUUUUCUUGCAUGAACCCAGAACAUUGGGGAGGAAGGAGCAAAUGUCUAUAUGUUGCUCGUUCCCCUAAACCUUGGAGUGAAUAUGGGUUAGGCAAUGAGCCAGAUCCAUCUGUUGAUCCUGUUCAUCAGCACUUCAGGAUCUGGUGCCACCUGAUGCAACCCCUUUGGGUGUACCCGAGCAUGCUCUAUUCGGAUGGCCCUUGA
rnacentral:rRNA from 1 species